rnacentral:sRNA from 1 species
AGGAAAGCCAUGGCAGAAAAAUAUAUUAUGACAUCUGCAAAACUCAUUGCUCCUGUAAUUGAAACAUCUUUUGCUGCAGGUUAUGAUUGGUGCGUGGAAGUGGUGAAAGCUUCUCAAUAUGUAGAGCUAGCCAAUGAUCUGGAAAUAAACAAAGCAGUUACAUACUUGAGACAAAAAGACUAUAACCAAGCCGUAGAGAUCUUAAAAGUGUUGGAAAAAAAGGACAGUAGAGUGAAAAGUGCAGCUGCAACCAAUCUCUCAGCCCUGUAUUAUAUGGCCUACACAAGUGAAAUGGCAGCUGAUGGUAGCUAGUUGUUUCAGAAGAAGUGGUAACUACCAAAAAGCAUUAGAUACUUAUAAAGAUACUCACAGAAAAUUUCCAGAAAAUGUCGAAUGUUCUGGCAGCGUGAGGACAGGACACAUGGAGAGAGACCCUUUAAACCUCCUUCCAAGGAAGUCAGUUCUCCCUGGUCCAGAGAUUGCAAAGUGUAAUUAUUUUUCAGGAGAAAAAUACUAUUUGUCUGCGUUUCUUAGUUCGUCUCUGCACAGAUCUUGGAUUAAAAGAUGCUCAAGAAUAUGCCAGAAAACUGAAGAGGUUGGAAAAAAUGAAAGAAAUAAGGGAACAGCGCAUAAAGUCAGGCAGAGAUGGCAGUGGGGGCUCCCGUGGCAAAAGAGAAGGAAGUGCUAGCGGUGAUAGUGGCCAGAACUAUAGUGCCAGUAGUAAAGGUGAACGACUAAGUGCCAGACUCAGAGCUUUACCUGGGACAAAUGAACCUUAUGAAAGUAGCAGUAACAAAGAAAUAGAUGCCUCCUAUGUGGACCCACUUGGCCCUCAAAUAGAACGACCAAAAACUGCAGCCAAGAAAAGGAUCGAUGAGGAUGAUUUUGCUGAUGAAGAAUUAGGAGAUGAUUUGCUUCCAGAAUAAUAUUCACUUUAAUAUUUAUUAAAGGAAAGAAAUUGCCUUAUG